UACGUAGGGUGCGAGCGUUGUCCGGAAUUAUUGGGCGUAAAGAGCUUGUAGGCGGUCUGUCGCGUCUGCUGUGAAAGUCCGGGGCUCAACUCCGGAUCUGCGGUGGGUACGGGCAGACUAGAGUGAUGUAGGGGAGACUGGAAUUCCUGGUGUAGCGGUGAAAUGCGCAGAUAUCAGGAGGAACACCGAUGGCGAAGGCAGGUCUCUGGGCAUUAACUGACGCUGAGGAGCGAAAGCAUGGGGAGCGAACAGG
rnacentral:rRNA from 1 species